UACGGAGGGAGCUAGCGUUGUUCGGAAAUACUGGGCGUAAAGCGCACGUAGGCGGCGCAGCAAGUCAGGGGUGAAAUCCCGGGGCUCAACCCCGGAACUGCCCUUGAAACUGCAGUGCUAGAAUUCUGGAGAGGCGAGUGGAAUUCCGAGUGUAGAGGUGAAAUUCGUAGAUAUUCGGAAGAACACCAGUGGCGAAGGCGACUCGCUGGACAGACAUUGACGCUGAGGAGCGAAAGCGUGGGGAGCGAACAGG
rnacentral:rRNA from 1 species